GGCCACAUUUUCCAUCUGGUCCACAUUCCACUCUCGAUGUAACUUUCCUAAUAAGAGGUCCGAUCCCGAGGCCUCAAAUACAGAGAAAGACACGAUAUCAAUCCAGACUCAGAGAUUCACAGAAGCAAUGGCGAAGAAGGCAGUCUUGAUAGGAAUCAAUUACCCAGGCACCAAGGCAGAACUGAAGGGCUGCAUAAACGAUGUCAAGAGGAUGUACCGAUGCCUGGUCGAUCGAUAUGGGUUCUCUGAGGAAGACAUCACCGUCUUGAUAGAUACCGAUGAAUCCUACAUCCAGCCAACUGGGAAGAAUAUUCGCAGGGUCCUCACUGAUCUUGUGAGAUCGGCUGAGCCAGGCGAUUUGCUUUUUGUGCACUACAGUGGACAUGGGACCAGGCUUCCUGCCGAGACUGGGGAAGAUGAUGAUACUGGCUUUGAUGAAUGCAUUGUGCCCUGUGACAUGAAUCUUAUCACUGAUGAUGACUUCAGGGAGUUUGUGGAUCAAGUACCACAUGGCUGCCGCAUAACAGUUGUAUCUGAUUCUUGCCAUAGCGGUGGGCUUAUUGACGAGGCUAAAGAGCAAAUAGGGGAGAGCACAAAGCGUAAAGAGGAGGAAUCAGAAAGUGGGUUUGGAUUCAAAAGUUUCUUGAAACAGACCAUCCAAGAUGCAUUUGAAUCUCGUGGAGUUCACCUUCCUUCUGAUUUGCACCACCACCACGGCCAUAGGGAUGAGGAGGAUUUUGAUAACCGAGUAGUUGAAGAAGACUAUGGUGACAGUGGCUAUGUGAAGAGUAAAUCUCUGCCUCUCUCAACUCUCAUAGAAAUUCUGAAGCAAAAAACAGGAAAAGAUGACAUUGAUGUUGGGAAGCUGAGACCAACACUUUUUGAUAUGUUUGGAGAUGAUGCAAGCCCUAAAGUGAAGAAAUUCAUGAAGGUAAUUCUGAAUAAACUCCGACAUGGUGAUGGAGAAAGUGGAGGUGGUGGAUUCUUGGGGAUGGUUGGCAGUCUGGCGCAGGAAUUUCUCAAACACAAGCUGGACGAGAAUGAUGAGAGUUAUGUAAAGCCUGCAUUGGAGACAGAAGUGGACAGCAAGCAAGAGGUUUAUGCUGGAAAAACCAAGCGGUCCCUGCCAGAUGGAGGGAUUCUAAUCAGUGGCUGCCAGACAGACCAAACUUCAGCUGAUGCCAGUCCUUCAGGAAAAUCCAGCGAAGCUUAUGGGGCUCUUAGCAAUGCAAUUCAGACCAUAAUUGCUGAGACAGAUGGUGCAGUUACCAAUCAGGAGCUGGUUUUGAAAGCUAGGAAGAUGCUGAAGAAACAAGGUUUCACCCAGAAACCAGGUCUCUACUGCAGUGACGAUCAUGUUGAAGCAAGUUUCGUAUGCUGAUAUGAAGAGUUUCUUUGUUACAAAGACAAUUAUGCGUGCUAUUAUGAGAUGUGUUUGCACUAGUUAUUGUGAGUUUUGAACAACAAUACCCUGAACCUUUCAUAUUCAAGUAAUGUGAUUUCAAUUCAAUAUUGGGCAGCCAUUAAUUGUCAUAGGCACAUGGAAUAUGAAAUCACAGUAUAAUUAAUCCUGCACUUGAAGCCAACCACUAUGGGUGAUUAGCUUUUGCAGUUAAAAGUUUACUGAAGCUAUAACUUGGAGUACGUCCCAUUUUCUGGUACCAUGGCCUUCCUUGUUGCUGGUUGAUCCGUGGUCUUUGCAUUCGUCUUUAUUGGAUUCCUGUAUCCAACUGCUCAUCUGUGGAGGUAGAAGACUUGUUCUUUGGAGGACUUCUUGACGCUAAAUUUAUUUAGCCAUGCUUGGCCUGGUUUUGAGAUUCCCAGUGUCUUGGGCAUCGUGUUCUGGUUUUUCCUUGGGUCGUAGGCUUUUUUCUUAUAAGGCUAGUUGUUGGACUAUGAGUUCUUAUUGUACUUGGCCAUCGGCCAUAUUUUAAGCAGCUAAUAAAUAUUUUUGCUAGGUGUAUGUAUAAAUAUGAAAGGAAUGAGAAACCAUAAAUAAUUGUUUUGAUUUCUU
rnacentral:misc_RNA from 1 species